CCCAAAUGCUGUAACGUAGAGGACCGUGUAUAGGUAAAGCAUCUGCCAUGGUUCUGCAGGCUCACAGUUGCCCAUGAGAAGGGCAAUUUGGUCACAUUUGUCUUGAUUUGGCAUCAGACUAGUCAUGGUUGCACACAAGAUUGUGGUGAAGAUGGCUAUGGUCCAGUAUCUCCCGAGAAAGGCGUCGGCGAGGAAACCACCGAGCACGGACGAGGCCUGCGAUAUCCCUAAGAAGUUGUUGACCGCGUUAGCAGAGUCCUCAAAAGGGCGAUGCAUCACGUAGAACAUGAAUGCCACCAUGUUCACAGACAGACCAAAUAAAAAACACCAACCACACAUUUCCCCUGUUAUUACCAAAAAUGAAGAAAGCAGCAAGCCAGCCACCGGUCUUGGACACGCUUGCCUCGGUAAGUGGCUUUCCGAGGAUGUUCACAGGCGUUGCUCCGCUCAUGUAGCCGCCCCCCAGGGCCGUCCGCCUGUCGUCGGAUUCAAGAAAGUACAUCCCCAGCCGCUUCCUCCGGUGAGGCGCCUCGACCGGAGCAACGGACGGCGACUUGAUCUCCCGAGCAGCCAUAUGCCUAUGUCGAGCCUUAAUGCUGCUACUUAUAUGCAAUGCGGCCACUAAAUUCGGUCACAUUUUUCCUUCAUUUAUUUGGUGUGAAGACUGUUGGGGUGAAGAGAAUCAGUUGCUAACAUAUAUCAUUAAUGCAGCUGCAAUAAUGGUUGGAAACACAAUCAGAAUCUACUCUCCCACCAAACACCUGCAAUUUGGACUAUGCCAUCAUCUUCCCCAAUCAUUACAGAACGGAGGGAGUACUUUAUAGGUGCAUCAAAGAAGCCCACGGAGUCUACGACAAUGAUGGAGCCACCAAAUGACUAUUUGGGCUUUUGUACAAUAUAUACUUAGACUCAAUCUAGUUCCUAUUAUAACUAUUAUUUCAGUUUGUUACUAUUUUUGUUCUCUCGUUGCAAAUUGUAUACAAAGAUUAUAUAGUGAAAUCUUUAUAUUGACAUUGCCCUCGGA